rnacentral:lncRNA from 1 species
ACCAUCUUCAAGAUUUGUUUUAAGAAUCCUAUUUUUCCACCAUAACAAGUAGUAGAGCUCAGCAAUAAGAGCUAACAAAAGACAACCAAAUACCACACUUAAAGCAAGUCCCACUGAGCUUAAAGAUUUCAUCUUUACAUCUAUUUGAACCAAAAUCAAGAAACUUAAAAGAUACAAAAUAAAAAUCCAAUCUUUCACCUCAAAGAUUUCAUCUUUUUACAUCUAUUUGAACCAAAAUCAAGAAACUUAAAAAGACACAAAAUAAAAAUCCAAUCUUUACAUCUAUUUGAACAAAAAAUCAAGAAACUAAAAUGACACACAAUAAAAAUCCAAUCUUUCACCUCAAAGAUUUCAUUUUUACAUCUAUUUGAACCAAAAUCAAGAAACUAAAGACACAAAAUAAAAAUCCAAUCUUUCACCUCAA